rnacentral:rRNA from 2 species
UGGGGAAUAUUGGACAAUGGGCGAAAGCCUGAUCCAGCCAUGCCGCGUGUGUGAAGAAGGUCUUCGGAUUGUAAAGCACUUUAAGUUGGGAGGAAGGGCAGUAAGCGAAUACCUUGCUGUUUUGACGUUACCGACAGAAUAAGCACCGGCUAACUCUGUGCCAGCAGCCGCGGUAAUACAGAGGGUGCAAGCGUUAAUCGGAAUUACUGGGCGUAAAGCGCGCGUAGGUGGUUCGUUAAGUUGAAUGUGAAAGCCCCGGGCUCAACCUGGGAACUGCAUCCAACACUGGCGAGCUAGAGUAGGGCAGAGGGUGGUGGAAUUUCCUGUGUAGCGGUGAAAUGCGUAGAUAUAGGAAGGAACACCAGUGGCGAAGGCGACCACCUGGGCUCAUACUGACACUGAGGUGCGAAAGCGUGGGGAGCAAACAGG